UUCAAGAUGGCGGACUGGCAGACGGGUCUAAACGAAGCGGAGAUUUAUAAAGUGAUUUCCUCGGUUUAUUCAUGGUGAAGGAGGCUGUUACUGUCUGCCUGGCACUUGGCACUCUUCACCGUUCUGCUUUCCGCCUGGAGUGCCACGGGGCCAUCAGUGAGUGCCGGGCAGCUGACGGUGGACCUGGUAAUUACCUGUGAGAAGGUGGGCACCACCCAGCCCCUCUGACCGCAGCAGCAAAGACCAGUGCCAUGUCCUGCCUGCCCAGUCCCUUGCUGUCAUGCAGACCCCCUCAUAGAAAGUGAGCGACAUAACCUCCUGACUGAGCUGGUCCAGGAGGUGGUGGUCCUGCAAUGCCUAUGAGCAAUGGGACAACAACCAAAUCCCUGGCCACAGCUGCGCUACCUCACCUCCCACACAACAGAGGAGGACGUGCAGGGGCUAGUCUCACUUGGGGCCCUGGAGCUGGAGAACACAAAGGAAGAACAAACAACAGCAGACCUGAUGGUUCUUACGAGGCUGUUUGUGACAAGCUACACUAACUAUCUAAUCAAAGGUGGAAGAUGAAGGACAGCAAGAUGAAGAAGCGUCUCUCAGCCCUUCCUUUCGGGUGCCGGCUUUGUCAAACUCUUCAUGGAAAUUUGCACUGACCUCAUCAUGGCAGAGACUGGGCAUGCAACUCUUUGCUGCACAAGGCGACCCAUUGUAGUAGCAGUGUUGUGUUCCCCCAGUGACCUGCCGACCACUGUGCUGCUCAUCAAGUUUGUGGAGGAGGGAGACAGUGCGAUGGGCACAGUCAUGCUGCUCAACUUUCUCAAUGCUUGGAAGGUCCAGGAGCAAGCUGCAACAUGGAUGAAGCCUUUUCUUGAAAAAAUAUGUUUUGGAGCCCAACACCACAGAGGUUGCCAGGAGUGAAAUUUUUAUAUUCAAAAGAACCGUCCAGCCGCCCCGGAGAGCCCAGCGACCACACCCUGCAAGACAGCCUGCUCAUCCCGGGACACACACAGCCUCACAUGGGGACUCUUCAGGCAUUAGACUGACGGGACGAGAACAACAACAACAACAACAGGAGGAGGAGGAGGGGGAGGAGGGUGGUACACAGGAGUGACUGCCAUCAGUGAGUGCCGGGCAGCUGACGGUGGACCUGGUAAUUACCUGUGAGAAGGUGGGCACCACCCAGCCCCUCUGACCGCAGCAGCAAAGACCAGUGCCAUGUCCUGCCUGCCCAGUCCCUUGCUGUCAUGCAGACCCCCUCAUAGAAAGUGAGCGACAUAACCUCCUGACUGAGCUGGUCCAGGAGGUGGUGGUCCUGCAAUGCCUAUGAGCGAUGGGACAACAACCAAAUCCCUGGCCACAGCUGCGCUACCUCACCUCCCACACAACAGAGGAGGACGUGCUAGUCUCACUUGGGGCCUUGGAGCUGGAGAACACAAAGGAAGAACAAACAACAGCAGACCUGAUGGUUCUUAUGAGGCUGUUUGUGACAAGCUACACUAACUAUCUAAUCAAAGGUGGAAGAUGAAGGACAGCAAGAUGAAGAAGCGUCUCUCAGCCCUUCCUCUUGGGUGCCGGCUUUGUCAAACUCUUCAUGGAAAUUUGCACUGACCUCAUCAUGGCAGAGACUGGGCAUGCAACUCUUUGCUGCACAAGGCGACCCAUUGUAGUAGCAGUGUUGUGUUCCCCCAGUGACCUGCCGACCACUGUGCUGCUGAUCAAGCUUGUGGAGGAGGGAGACAGUGCGAUGGGCACAGUCAUGCUGCUCAACUUUCUCAAUGCUUGGAAGGUCCAAGUGAGGAGGAGCAAGCUGCAACAUGGACGAUGCCUUUUCUUGGAAAAAUAUGUUUUGGAGCCCAACACCACAGAGGUUGCCAGGAGUGAAAUUUUUAUAUUCAAAAGAACCGUCCAGCCGCCCCGGAGAGCCCAGCGACCACACCCUGCAAGACAGCCUGCUCAUCCUGGGACACACACAGCCUCACCCUUCAGGCAGGAGACUGACAGGACGAGAACAACAACAACAACAACAACAAGAGGAGGAGGGGGAGGAGGGUGGUACACAGGAGUGACUGCCAUCAGUGAGUGCCGGGCAGCUGACGGUGGACCUGGUGAUUACCUGUGAGAAGGUGGGCACCACCCAGCCCCUCUGACCACAGCAGCAAAGACCAGUCCCAUGUCUUGCCUGCCCAGUCCCUUGCUGUCAUGCAGACCCCCUCAUAGAAGUGAGUGGCUUGGCCUUUACAUGUGUGACUCUAUCUGUGUAAGCCUUUGACAGUCUGUCAUAUCUCUAAAUACAUUCAGUUAUCAAUAUAUCUGUCUGUCAUAUCUCUAAAUACAUUCAGUUAUCAAUAUAUCUGUCUGUCAUAUCUUUAAAUACAUUCAGUUAUCAAUAUAUCUGUCUGUCAUAUCUUUAAAUACAUUCAGUUAUCAAUAUAUCUGUCUGUCAUAUCUUUAAAUACAUUCAGUUAUCAAUAUGUCUGUCUGUCAUAUCUCUAAAUACAUUCAGUUAUCAAUAUGUCUGUCUGUCAUAUCUCUAAAUACAUUCAGUUAUCAAUAUAUCUGUCUGUCAUAUCUUUAAAUACAUUCAGUUAUCAAUAUAUCUGUCUGUCAUAUCUUUAAAUACAUUCAGUUAUCAAUAGAUCUGUCUGUCAUAACUCUAAAUCCAUUCAGUUAUCAAUAUAUCUGUCUGCCAGUCUGUCAUAUCUCUAAUAAAUACAUUCAGUUAUCAAUAUAUCUGUCUGCCAGUCUGUCAUAUCUCCAAUAAAUACAUUCAGUUAUCAAUAUAUCUGUCUGCCAGUCUGU